UACGUAGGGUGCGAGCGUUAAUCGGAAUUACUGGGCGUAAAGCGUGCGCAGGCGGUUUUGUAAGUCAGAUGUGAAAUCCCCGGGCUCAACCUGGGAACUGCGUUUGAAACUACAAGGCUAGAGUGUAGCAGAGGGGGGUAGAAUUCCACGUGUAGCAGUGAAAUGCGUAGAGAUGUGGAGGAAUACCAAUGGCGAAGGCAGCCCCCUGG
rnacentral:rRNA from 1 species